GACGGAGGGCGCAAACGUUGUUCGGAAUCACUGGGCGUAAAGGGCGCGUAGGCGGGUCGGUAAGUCAGACGUGAAAUCCCGGGGCUCAACUCCGGGCCUGCGUUUGAAACUGUCGACCUAGAGUGCAGGAGAGGAAGGCGGAAUUCCAGGUGUAGCGGUGGAAUGCGUAGAUAUCUGGAAGAACACCAGUGGCGAAGGCGGCCUUCUGGACUGACACUGACGCUGAGGCGCGAAAGCUAGGGGAGCAAACAGG
rnacentral:rRNA from 1 species